AAACUACCUCCAAUCUCAGACGAUCGCAAAAGAAAGCAGUCCGAGAUGAUGGAUCUGCCAUCGCCACCCGUCACACCUUAUGUCGAGAGCAAGAAGCAGCGAACAAACGAUGAUGAGCCGGUUGAUAGACAGGGUGGCACGGUCGGCAGCAGCAUCAAUAACCGGGAUCCUGUCCUCUUCCCUCGCUCAGACGAGAGUUCUACCGCCAUACCCAAUGAUGAGCCACUCUUCGCUUCAGACGAGGCCACAGUUGCAGAUAUCGACCAGCACAUCGCCGCCAGCUCAUAC
rnacentral:snoRNA from 1 species